rnacentral:rRNA from 1 species
GACGAACGCUGGCGGCGUGCUUAACACAUGCAAGUCGAACGGAAAGGCCCUGCUUUUGUGGGGUGCUCGAGUGGCGAACGGGUGAGUAACACGUGAGUAACCUGCCCUUGACUUUGGGAUAACUUCAGGAAACUGGGGCUAAUACCGGAUAGGAGCUCCUGCUGCAUGGUGGGGGUUGGAAAGUUUCGGCGGUUGGGGAUGGACUCGCGGCUUAUCAGCUUGUUGGUGGGGUAGUGGCUUACGAAGGCUGUGACGGGUAGCCGGCCUGGGAGGGUUACCGGGCUCAUUGGGACUGAGAGAGGGAGCAGACGGCUACGGGAGGCAGCAGUGGGAAAUAUUGCACAGUGGGCGGAAGCCUGAUGCAGCAGCGCCGCGUGCGGGAUGACGGCCUUCGGGUUGUGAACCGCUUUCGCCUGUGACGAAGCGUGAGUGACGGUAAUGGGUAAAGAAGCACCGGCUAACUACGUG